CUUACAUUCAGAGAAACACCACAGUUCUGGCACCAGUAAUGAAGGCGCCAUCUGGCCCCUCUUGGGCUCCUUGGCUUGAAUUCCUGGGGUCAUUGUUACACUUGGCACUCCCUAGGCGAAGGAGAACAAUAAGAGGCAGGUAAAGCUGGAGCCCGUAACAGGAAGAAACGUGAGCAUUGAAAACCCUCCCUUUGGAUGAACUGACCACAGCUGGACAACACCAGUGCCAGGCCAGGGUUCCAAGCACUGCAGAGAUGAAGCACCUUCUUCCAGCAGCUCCUGGAGUUCUCAGAAGCCAGAGUGGACUUGUUCCUCCAUUUUAUUUGAUGAGAGUUCUAAAUACAGUUGGGCAAGGCUUCGGAUUUUAGUGGGAGAUGGCCAGAGGCGAAGCAACGAUAAAAGCAGCUGAAUAGGCAAGUGUGUGGUCUGCUUUCCAUUUCUAUUGGAGUUCCUAUUUUAUUUAUGUAUUUAUUUAUUAUGUAUUUUUUUUUAUUUUAUUUAUAUUCCUUAUUUAUUUAUUUAUUUAUUCUCUAUUUUUGGCUUAACAACAGGAACGCGCUUGGCGAUUUCCUUUUUUAAGAACUACAGGAGACACUCCUGAGGUCACGUAUUUGAUUAAUGUUGAGAUGUUUGCUCAGCCUCCCUUAUCAAGGGGAGGGCACCUGUGUGGGGUGUGGAGCAUACUUUGCAGAUGCCAAGCGCCCAGCAGCACCCAACGGUGUCUCUCAAGACGUGAUCCAGAGACAGAGGCUCAUUCCCCCACCAUGGCACCCCAAUCCCGGGAGUCUGGGCCUGCCUGGGUGCGGGUGAUAGGCAGCCAGCCCACAGAGGGACAGGCAAAGUAUAGCCAGAGGAAUUUGAAUGCAUCCCCAUUCCACCACCCUUGUAAUAUGGAAUGAUCUCCCCAUCUUUCCUUCCUGAGCUGGGAGGUGGGUUCGAGUGAGCACUGCCAGAUACUAUGGUAGGGCAUACUCAGAGAAGGCCGGUGGGGAGAGGCUGGAUUUUUCAUUUCUUUCUUGUCUUUCUUUUCUUUCUUGUCCUAGCUCUCCCUCUCUGAGCUAGGUGCAAGCUCCUGACAUAGGAAGCGAUCCCUCCUUGCCACAGAUAACCUAUGUAGCCAGGUGCUGCCAAGCAGCUUCCACCUGGAGGAGGGCAGCUGCUCUGAGCAUGACCAGUAGCUGUGGAUGGCAUUGUCAAGGCAUCUGGAGGAAGCUGCAGCCCCACAAAGCCCCUGACCCCUCUGCCUUUCCCUCUGCUGGAUCCUCUUCCUCCCUCUUUCCCUGCUGUCUCCUGUAGAGAACUUUCUACCAGUCCACACACCAACCUAGGUGCAGCCCCCCUGCCUGACUCCCUCCCUGACUAUCAUAACCAUGGCCAGCAGUAUCUCCACAUCUCUGCCCAGAUCCCCCUGGGAAGGCUUAUCCCAGGCCCCAGGUUUGGGGCAAUGCCCAGUGGCAUUGGAUGGGGUCCCCCUUGAAAAGAAGCACAGAAAGACUGAGCCAUCAACAUAGUCCCUUCCACCACCUGCCACUGUCCCCAAAAUUCCCCACACCAGAAGUGUUUAGACUGUCUAAGGACAAUACUAUCUAGGGUUUGAGGACCACCCCACAGCAAAAACACUAGAAAGCUAGCUCCAAAAUGCAAAUCCCAGGCCAUGCCCCUCACCUCCUGAGGCAGCAUCCCUGGGUAUAGAUCUCAGAAAUCUGCAGUUUUAGUACAAAGGCCCCCUAAACUUAGAGAAACAGCCUGAAUUCACAUGGGCACACCUUACCUGAGCAGGCAAUACAGUGACAAGGGUGGGAACAGAGAGGACGAGACCUGAUACUGGGAAGGCCUGACAGAGGGAAGGAAGGAAAGCACUCAGGCUAAGGGCUCUGGGAAACCCACUCUUCCCCCUAGGGAGCUGCUGUUCCCUGAGGGGCCUGGGGGGCCUCUUCCUGAAGCCCCAGCUAUUCAAAUUACACCUUUUCUUAUUAGGACAUCAGGAGGUGUUGCCCCUUAGCUUUCCAUUCUAACCUCCUCAAUAUAGGGGACUUGCUGGUGUCGAGGACAGAGCGGAGGCCUCAAGGGUAUGUGCAGUCUAGGUGGCCUUGGUGGAGGGGCAGCACUCUACAUUUGGGAGGGGACUUCUUGCUGAACUCCUUCCAGUGGGUCAAAUGGGGUAGACUGAGGGAGAGGUGUGGGAGGUGAUAAAGAACCAGGUAGGGACUGGAUGGAUCCGGGGAGUUCACAGGGCUGCCUCGGAGGCAGAGGGCACCGAGACAGAGAAGACCCUGGGGGGCACCAAAGCGAUCCCUGCAGUCUAUGAGUGUAGGAUCAGAGAGGGUUAAGGGCCAGAAGCCCCUGUGUGUUUAGGACUGUGGCACCAUGGGUGCAUCCCCUGAGAAGCAAAGCUCAGGCAGGAGCAGCAGUGGGCAAAGAGCCUGGUGGUGCAGGUGCAGGCCCUGUAGAGGAGACAGUGACAACACCCAGCCCAGGCCGGCUCUCUCUGCCUGUCCCCUGAGUCCCCUGGCACCUCUCCACAUCUGCUCAGCCCUCCCAGCUAACCUAGCACUUGUAGAUGGUUGAUAUGAUUUGGAUCUGUGUCCUCAAAUCUCAUGUUGAAUUGUAAUCCCCAGCGUUGGAGGUGGGGCCUGGUGGGAGGUGAUUUGAUCAUGGGGGUGAAUCCUUCAUGAAUGGCUUAGCUUUAUCCCCUUAAUGCUGUUCUUGUGAUAGUGAGUGAAUUCUUGCAAUAUCUGGUUGUUUAAAAGUGUGUAGCACUUCCCCCCGACCCUCUUUUGUUCCUAUUCCAACUGUGUGAAGUGCUCACUCCCCCUUUGCCUUCCGCUAUAACUGUAAGUUUCCUGAGGCCGUCCCAGAAGCGGAGCAGGUGUCAGCAUCAUGCUUUCUGUAUAGCCUGAGGAACUAGAAGCCAAUUAAACCUCAUUUCUUUAAAAAUUACCCAGUCUGAGAUAUUUCUUUUCUUUUCUUUGAGACAGGGUCUGGCUCUGUCACCCAGGCUAGCAUAGUGGCAUGAUCACAGCUUGCUGCAACCUCUGCCUCCAAGGCUCAAGUGAUCCUCCCACCUCAGCCUCACAAGUCACUGGGACCACAGGCACGUACCACCACACCCAGCUAGUGUUUGCAUUGUUUGUAGAGACAGGGUUUCACCAUGUUGCACAGGCUGGUCUCAAACUCCUGAGCUCAUUCGAUUCUCCUGUCUUGGCCUCCCAAAGUGCUGGGAUUACAGGUUUGAGCCACUGCACCCAUCCUAGGUAUUUCUCUAUAUCAGUGCAAGACAAACUAAUACAAAGGUGAAUCCAUCUGCAGAUCCAGACUCCACAGGAAGCCAGCAAGUGUGAUCGCGGGCUCUGCUGCAUUUCGGGGCGGUUCUAUACUUGGCAUGUGCAUGCUUUCCUCCGCCUAGCAUAUUAGCUUGCUGGGGCUACUAGAACAAAGUACCACAAACUGAGUGGCUUAAUACAACUGAAAUGCAUUCUCUCACACUUCUAGUGGCCAAAGUGCAAGAUCAAAGUUUUGGCAGGGUUGGCUCCUUCUGGACACUCAGAGGGAGAGUCUGCCCUGUGUCUCUCCCCUGGCUUCUCCUGGUUGCUGGCAACCCUUGGCAUUUUUUGCUUAUAAAUGUAUCCCUCUUAUCUCAGCCUCUACUGUCACGUGACCUUCUUCCCUGUGCAUCUGUCUCUUGUCCUCUUCUUCUAAGGACAGCAGUCAUAUUGGAUUAAGGGCCCAGCCACUCCAGUAUGACCUCCGCUUAACUUGAUGGCAUUCAAAGCCAUCAAGUUUGGAAACAAGGUCACAUUCCCAGGGACCGGAGGCUAGGACUUGAAGAUAUCUUUUGGGAGGAGACACCUGCAACAUUUGGAUUGGAGAAGACUCAGUGACCUUCUGGGAUGUCAUUUACCCUCCCUGGGCUACAGCUUCCUUGUUUGUAGAGGAAGAGGUUAAAUUAAACAAUCUCUUCCAGGUCUCAUGGUCUUCGAAUCUGUUUUCUCCUCUGCUGUUUUCUCGGCUUCCUUCUCCCGAUGGAAAUAGGGGGCCAAUGUAUUUCCCCUGCCUCCCCUCCCUCUCAGGCCUGCUUUCAAGUCUUAGAGCUGGCAAGGGCUCUGUGCAAUAUUCCAGGUCCUACCCUCAAUUUCUGGUGGAACAACAGAAUAAGCGGUCUCUGCGUGCACACAAAUCCCUUCAGCUCCGUCUGGGCCCGGCAACAGCAGACC